AAAGAAGAAGAAGCAAAGCUGGAAGUAGGUAGUGCUGUUGACAUACCACAGAGCAGAAAAGCUGAUGGUAGUAGCUCUGGCAAGAAGUCACCAAUCUACAAGGGCUCUGAGACAAAUUAUACUGCCUCCAAUAGAAACAGCUACCCACGCUUUCAGCCUGCCCAGCAGGAAGAUUAUGAAGAGUAUGAAAUGAAUGGCAAAGGUGGUUCAAGCGUUGACCAUCCGCCUCCAGUGGCCCCCAAGUACAGAAAAAAGAGUGAACCCAUCUUGGACGCCAAGGGAAAUGAGGUCAGGCCGCCGGAGAAGAAGCCUAGGAGUAUCUUCUUGACACCUAGCAUGGAAGAGCUAGAUAAAAUCAAUGAAGCUGUCAGGGGAGGUAAAGGCAGUCAGCCAGCAGGCACAAUGGUUUAACAUUGGCGUCUGCAGAAUCAAAAUUUUUUUUUCUGCCAACAUUCGGUUUAAAUCUCCUGUCCCAUCACUUGCUGCAUGGUCAAAAUAAAAGCAACACUUGCAUCAAGGCUUCUAACCUGUAAUGAUCAAUUCCUUUUUGUCUGCCUAGAGUUGGCUUAUUGCUGAUUGUAAGAAAUAGUUGCAAUGAACUGAUUAAAAAUUGUGCAAAACUGCAACUCAUUGUACAGGUUUUUAUCAUGUGUAAAUAUUUGAAGAGGUAUUUUACUAUGCUCAAUGUUAUUUUGUAAUUUGUAAUGUGAUAUUAUAUCAUAGGAAUGCUGGUGCAAGUGGAAAGUAAUUUUGUACUAGACAUCACUGGUGCCAGCCAGAUUGUGACUAGGAUCAACUAGAUAUUAUUGAUGCAUUUGAUUUUUCAAAGAUGUCUAACCCACCAGUCCUUGUCUUGUUUUACUGUUUUGUGUGGACAUCAACGUUUCAUGAUUUUUGUUGACUCCAUUCCAUCAGUUGUUGUGUUUGAGUCAAAUCAGAUUAGUAGAUAAGUUUUUAGUUUUAAUAUUGGCUCCAAUUUCUUAAAGCAGAUGAGCUGCCUCUUUGGUGUAAUGACCCAGUCAUCAAAUUGAAAUGGGUGAUAGUGUCCAAAUAUAAUUUGAGCCCUGCGCCCUGUCCUCGGGUCUGAAAUCUUAGUCUACAAAUAUUAAAAGGAAGAUGGAAGACUGGCAUGACAGCUUUAAUGGUAAUGACCUGAGUACGGAAAAGAAAACAUGGUCAGUGUACUGAACUGAUAAAAUUUAAACCCAGCAUAAUGUCAUUCAAUAAUGUCAAAAGUCUGGACAUCCUGCUGGCCACUCAGUUCACUCCAAUGCCAGUUGCUUAAAGAAUUUCCCAUUUUUUAAAUGCAAGAAUAAAUUUGAAAUUCUAAAACAUUUUUAUAGAUUCAUUAAAUUUUGUCGCAUCUUCUAAAAUAAAAUAAAAAAUAUUAUUUUACUGAGAGUUUGAGUGCAUUGUGGCUUAAAUUUAUGGUAGCUAUUGUCUUACUAUUAUAUAUCUAUGAAUAUGAAUUAAACUGCCUCUGUAAAUUGUAUUAACAAAUUUCUUUUUUUUUAUUCCAUUUAUAAAUGUUUAUUCAGGUUCCAGUUUUCAUUUUUUUUUUAUGUGUUUAAUCUAUAAUUAUCAACCAUUAUGAUUAUCCUUUUUUCUUCAGAAAGGGAAACAGGGUCAUUAAUCCAUUUGUGUGUACAGUUUAUAAUAGUAACAUUUAUUUGCUUAGUUUACUGUCAGAAGAAUGAAUAUUUCUGCCUUGACUGUUGUACAGAGUGAAUUAUAUUUGAACAUUUCAGAGAAAUGUCUCUUCCUCCAUCCCCCCAACAUGUCUUUAUGACUUCAAAAAUGGAAAUCUCUGAGCAAUGAGCCACUUAGGAGACCCCAUAGCAUGAUAAGAAAAAAAAUUUUUUUAGCAGCAUUGCCAAUUUCUAAGAAUUGUGUUCCAAGACUUCUAAAAUGAACUGACCAUUUGAUGUUAUCAAGAGACGUUCAUUUGAUUGGCUUGAUGAUCUGUCCACACCUAACAAUUGACUGUCUCAUUAAGACUUUUAAUUUAGGAUAACUUUGAACAAUAUUUAUAUGAACUAAUUUU
rnacentral:sRNA from 1 species